rnacentral:tRNA from 1 species
GGGGUCAUAGCUCAGAUGGGAGAGCGCCUGCUUUGCAAGCAGGGGGUCGGCGGUUCGAUCCCGCCUGACUCCACCA